GGGUUUUCUUGCUUCCUUUUGAAAUAAGCCUGAGCUACAAACUUCAGAUUAUGAAUUCUCCAGCUGCUCAGAUUUGAAGGAAAGGAGAGUAGAAGACAUGGCUUACAGAGAUACUCCAAAGCAUUCUAUAUAGUCACCACCAUGAGGACCUACUUCUGGUGCCAAGCUCGGUGAGGACAUCACUCCUCUGAAAAGUAAGACAAGUAGCCUGCGAGGAAUGCCAUAAGCUUUUUUGCUUGGGCAAAUGUAUGGUACAGUGGCAGCCUGUGGAGAGGACACUGAUGAGGGCCAGUAUGAGGAGGGAGCAGGAACCAUGCAAGUCUGGAUGUCUCAGAAGAUCCAGAGGAUGAAAUACAUGUGAUUCUGCAUCCUUACCUGGUGAGAAGAUUGAAGAAGCCCCCCACAAUGAACAACCCCAAGCCAUGGCAGGAACCAGAAUGUGAAGCUGAAUUUUGGGUUCCUGAGACUGAAACCAUUUAACCAAAAGGGCAGAAGCAGCAUCUAGAGACAGCAGAGGUAGAUGGGGAAGGACCAUGGAGGAGCUGCUCAUAGGGAUGGACAGGAAAUAACAGGAGCAAUUUGAAUUCCUCUGAACAUGGGAGGAAAGAUCUCUUCAACAUGAACUGGUUCAUGGACAUGGAGGCAUGCCAAAGGGAAUGGGAGCAUUCCCUAAUGGAGAGGCUCAUUGAACUGGUGGUCAAAAGAGUGCAGUGUCUACCUGCUGCUGAAACAACAGAACUAGCUCAUCAGCCACCACUACCACCUUCUCCAGCCCAGGGUUGCAGUGACACCCUUCGCCACUUCUGACUUACCAGGAGGAGAACACUGAGUCUCCAAAAAUACUGGAACACUGUUAUGU